AGAAGUUCAUUGAACAAUUUUGCGAGGAAGCAUAUGGAUGUUCAGUUCGAGAUCGAAAGAACUAUCUUGCAUACAAGCACCUGUGUAAUCUCUCUUUCACAUUAACUUUUUCCCUGUCAAGCAUAAAAUUUUAAUUGUUUUUGGUGAAUGGUUUGCAAUGGUGAUAUAGAAUGUGCAUGAGAAUUGGGAAGUUGGGAACUCUUAUCUGCUCUAUUAAGCGCCUUUGGGUAUGUGUCUUAUCAUAAUUUUAAUACUCUGUCAGAAACAGUUUGCAAUUUGUGAUCGCUAAAAACUAAAGUUUAGGAAGGUACCUUGAGUUUGUAGUAAUGAGUUCUUCUGAUAUUUUCAUCUGUUGAGGUUCCUUACUGUAGGGAAUUCAUGCUAUUGUGUGUUAUAAUGGGAUUCUGGGUCUUUUAUGGUAUUUGGUACUAUUAUUUUAUUAUCCUGAUUUAAUUUGUUGAAGGAAAUUUUGCCAUGGAAGAGCUACCAUGGUAUGAAGUCUUCCUUGUAGAAAGAUACUAGCAACCUGUAUGCAGCUUGAAAAUUCAUAGAUGUUUUGGUUGUCUACAUGUAGUGGUAGAGCCAUUCAACCCACCAGUAAAUCAUUUUAUGUUUUGGCUUUACUAUAACAUUAGAUCCUAAGGAACUGUGUGCUACUUUCGUGGCUUACAUAGUUACUGUGUACUACUUUUGUGGCUUACAUAGUUAAAGUCAAAGACCAUAAAAUGAUUAUACUACACUUUGCGAAAUUGUAUUCCCUCAUUAAUCGAGAUGGUAUUGAGAUGCUCUCUUUUUGGCUUUUUGUUUCUGGUUUCAGCAUCAGCUGUUAGUAAGCAGAGAAGAUUUGAUUUUCUUUCAGGUACGUUUUACAAUUCUUCCCCAUGCUUUGUUGCAUUUUUCUUGUUUAAUGCCUAAACAUAAACUUUUCUGGCAUGGACCGAGUUAUUACCUAUCUUGCCUGGUAUUAUCAUUAUUUGAUGAUGCUAUUACUUUCACAGCCCUGCAUUUAUUUAUCUAUCUAUAAUGUUUUGUGCAUUUAGAUUUUGUUCCUGAGAAACUAAAAGCUGAGGAUGCCUUGGCACAGAGAAAAUUGGUGGAGAAUAGGCAAGGAUAGGACCUUGGUAACACGCUAAGAUUAUAAUCCUUGCUCUUACUCAUUUUCCUUGGUAAAUCAUGCUUAUCUCAUAGGACUUCCAUUUGUUUUCAAUUGGUUGUAUAUUAUAGAGGGGAAAGGCAUCAGUUUCUGACAACUCAGAUUGGUUAUUCUCUUUCAUUUCCUAGUCCUUGCCUCUUGUUUUCAAUUGGCAUUGUAUUUUGUUGAUGAAAACAAUUCCUUGCUACCAAGUUAGGUUGGACAGUCAUUCUUAUUUUCUAGGCCUUUCCUUUUGCUUUCAAUUGGCUGUGUAUUUAGCAGGUAAUGGUAUUGAUUCCUAGUGAUUCAAUGGGAUCCAUGUGUAUGCACAUCUUGCUCUUCAGGCUACAAAAGAAGAAGGGUUGAUGCAGCAUAAACCAUUGUUGUCUGUGAAUUGAAUUCUUUUCAUGUUUGGUUGGUGAAAAAUUGUGUAAUUCUCUUUUAUUUGCUGAAGCAUGCACCCAAGUCUUGCGAUGAAUUGGUUCUGAUAUGACCCACUGCUGAAUGAUGCCCUGCAGUUGAUCUCAAGCCAUGGGGUACCCUAGUUCCAUAUAUAUAACAACUGUUCUGAUGGAAUUUCCUUCUGUUUCAAUUGAAUCUUAAAUUGUUGAAUCAUUGCCUUCAUUCUGUUCUUUUUCCCUUUCUCCCUAUGGUAAUA
rnacentral:misc_RNA from 1 species